GAUGAACGCUAGCGACAGGCCCAACACAUGCAAGUCGAGGGGCAUCGGGGUGUAGCAAUACGCUGCCGGCGACCGGCGGAUGGGUGAGUAACGCGUAUGCAACCUGCCUUCAGCAGGGGGAUAGCCCGUUGAAAGACGGAUUAAUACCCCGUAACACAGGGGCUCCGCAUGGAGAUUAUUGUUAAAGGGAUGCUUCCUUCGGGGGGUAUUCCGGCUGAAGAUGGGCAUGCGUUCCAUUAGGUAGUUGGUUGAGGUAACGGCUCACCAAGCCUGCGAUGGAUAGGGGAACUGAGAGGUUGGUCCCCCAACUGGUACUGAGACACGGACCAGACUCCUACGGGAGGCAGCAGUGAGGAUCUUGGUCAAUGGACGGAAGUCUGAACCAGCCAUGUCGCGUGAAGGAGGACGGCCCUAAGGGUUGUAAACUUCUUUUGCAGGGGAAUAAAGUAUUCCACGAGAUGGGAUAUUGCAAGUACGCUGCGAAUAAGGAUCGGCUAACUCCGUGCCCG
rnacentral:rRNA from 1 species